UGUUUUUUUUUCUUUUUUCUAAUUGGGGGCAUGGUAGAAUGCUUGCCUAACACACAAAUGCUCUCUCUCUCUCUUUUUUUUUUAAUUUUGUAAUUAUAUUUAGGUACAGAAAAUUUAGUGUACAUUUAACCCAAUUUAGUGGCGAGUUCUUUAGCCUUUGCUUUUUCCAGCUUGGCAAUGUGAGCCACAGACUUAGGACCCAGGACGUUACCUCCCCAGUGGCGACGGAUCUCGUCAUAUCUGUCAUUGUAAUUGGUCCUAAUAGCUUCCACCAGCUUAGCCAGAGCACCCUUGUCUUCCGAGUUAACCUGUGUGAAGCCAACAGUGGUGCAUGUCUUCCUGUGGACCAGGUGCCACAGCCUGGCCUUUCCCUUGAUGAUGCAGUAGGGCACCCCCAUCUUUAGACACAGGGCAGGUAGGAAAACCACCAGCUCAAUGGGGUCUACAUCAUGGGCAAUCACCACCAGCUGAGCCUUCUUGUUCUCCACCAAGGUGGUGACUGUAUUGACUCCUGCUCAGAGGACAAGCGGUCUCUUAGUUGGGACAUCACCUUGGCCAGCAGCUUUCUUCUCAGCACGGGCCAGUAGCCUUUGCUUCUUCUCUUGCUUUGUCUCUGAACUGUACUUGUGGACAAGCUUACGCAGCUGAGUAGCUGUCUGCCUGUCCAGCACCUGGGUGUGAACUGGUUAAUGGCAGGAGGAACUUUGAGCCGCUUGUAGAGGAUGGCUCUUUGCCGCUGCAGCCUGAUGUAGCGGGGCCAUUUGACGAAGCGCGUUAAAUCUCUUUUGGGCUGGAUGUCCUGUCUAAUGCCGAAGUUCUUGGGCCUCUUCUCGAACAGAGGGUUGACCAGAGGUUCUUGGCCUCCUGCUCCUUGACGACGGCCAGGGGCCAGGGCCACCUUCUUCCCUUUGGGCAUCUUGCUCGGCUGCUGGAGAGAGCACACAAAUGCUCUUACUUAGUUCUCAGUAUCAUACAUAUAAAACCUCCUGUGUUCUCCCAUAGUGAAAACCUUGUCCCCUGAUACCAUUACAUGUGGUUGUUUACUCAGUGUGCAUAAAGCAGGGCUGGGGGCGGGGAAUGGAUGUGAUAAAGAUUCAUUGUUUGCAAGGAUGAAUUUGUCAAAGAAUAAAUUUUAAAAUGUCUAGUAUUUUUCAAAUUCACUCCACCCCCAUCCACCCAUAGGAACCAAACCUACUUACCUUUUAUAGAUUUGACACUCACUUCCAUCCAUAGAGUAUGGACUCCAAGUAAAGUUUUUAAACCUUAAACUCAAGAGUUGGGUGUGAUAACAUACACAUAGACCCAGUAUUUGGGAGGCUCAGGAGUUCAAGCAAAGCUACAUAUUGAAUUUAAGGCUAACCUGAACUACAUAAGACAUUGUCUCAAAAGAAACAAAGUUCAUAUAAGGGAUGGCACGAUGGCUCAUUGGGUGAAGAGAUACUUGCAGUCUUUGGGACCAGGUAGAAAGAAAUCAAUUUCCCAAUCCUUGUCCUCUGAUCUCCGCCUAUAUAUGGGAAAGAAAUGUAACUUUUAAAAUGUUCAGUUAAAAAGUUACAUAGAUUACCCUUUACCCUUCUUUUGACUUUAAAGGCUUAUGUUGUUUCAUGUAUAGUAUUAGUUGUCCAUACCUGUUUCUAUUUGCAUCAGUUUUAGCGAACACCCUAAUUUUGUUGACUUAAUUUUUUGAGUUGUAGAAAUGUACUAAAAAAUAAAACAACACAGUAAACCAUACUUUAGGAAGUUUCUUCCUUUUCACAAAUCUCUUUUUCUCCACCCUUUGUAGAUAAACUAUUUUUAUUAUUUUCUAACAAUAAAAAUCUUACUGUUCUUCCUAUAUUUCUUUUGCAAAAGUAGCAGGUAUGUGUUUCAGUCCUUUUUAUUCUUACCAAAAAUAAAAAACUAAAGAUAUGCUAUAGAUAUAGACCCUCUUCAUAAACAGUUUCAAAAAUGCUUUGCCCAAGUUACCUUUAAGUUUAGGUGUGGAGAUUAAGUUUGGUGCUUUCAAAGAUAGAACCGCCUUCACUCUGUUCUGUUCUGCUCUCCUGGUUUUGCUUGUUAUUUUUGGAAUGUGUCUUGUGAGAGUUAAUUUUUUUUUGAUUGUGUAGUUUUGAUUGCAUAGAUGUGUGGUGUUUUCUUUUCAUAACUGUUUUUUAAACACAUGAAAGUAUUUACAAGCAUGCAUCUUUUAAACAGGCGGUCAGUCUGACCAGGGCUACGGGUCUAAGGAUGAGCUGGUAAAGGAGGGUGCAGAUGGUCACGCCCCUGAAGAGCACACGCCACCAGAGCUGACGACCACAGAGCUGCACAUCGAAGGUGACUGUGAUGUUUGUGGACAGGAAUGUUCAGAUCGUUUUAUUUUAUGUAGUGGUUACAGCAGUAAUUCUCAGGAAUUUAAGGCCUGUUUCAUAGAUUGACUGUGAUAGUCUUGUUUUUUUUAAAGAUUUAUUUAUAUAUAAGUACACUGUAGUUGUCUUCCAACACACCAGAAGAGGGCAUCAGAUCCCAUUACAGAUGGUUGUGAGCCACCAUGUGGUUGCUGGGAUUUGAACUCAGGACCUCUAGAAGAGCAGUCAGUGCUCUUAAUCACUGAGCCAUCUCUCUAGCCCAACUGUGAUAGUCUUUACAGUUGAAAUUUUAUCAACUUUAGAAAGUUUAUAGAUCAUCCUUUAUUUUGGGGAAAAAAAAAAGUGCCAUCCAUUGGCAAAGUUACAUGGAUAAUUUUUUGACAAAACUACGACUGAACUUUGUUCUAGUUUGAUCUUGAACUCCAGUUCCUCCUGCCUCUCUGGUUAGAGUCCUGGGACAGCAGGCAUACGGCAGUCACCAAGCCCACCAAUAAGACCAAACUUGAUCUGUCAAAUUGAUACUUUGUGUUCUUCUCAUUUCCCAGCUCUGAACCUGAAGAUUAUUCCCAGGGUCAUAAAGGCAAACAGUUACAUCUCCAGGUCCUGAGGUUCCUUUGAUUUUUAAAAGGUUUUUUAUUAGAACAUUUUUGGGUGUUUCUAAGUACAUAGUUUGCAUGGUAGGUUAAAAAUAAAUAUAAAUGGAUGUCCUGUCUUUUACAGGACUCGUUGAGGUAGAGACAGAUCUGUUGUAAUCCUUUUAUUGAUCUGUAAGGAGUCUGGUUUAUGGCAAUAGAUUUUUUCCUGUUCUCUACUCAAAUGUAUAUUUUCCUUGAUUAUAAUACCUAAUCUUAUGCUCUAGAGUUAUAAAUAAGCUAUUUGACAAUGGAAAAAGUAGAAGUCGAGGCCAAGGGUUUAAUUGACUCACUAAGAUUAUUGAAUGUUAGAAUAAAACACUAUUAGUCAGGGAUGGAAAGAUGGCUCAGAGGUUGAGAGCACUGGCUGCUCUUCCAAAGGUCCUGAGUUCAAUUCCCAGCAACCACAUCAUGGCUCACAACGAGAUCUGGUACCCUCUUCUGGCCUGUAGGCAUUCAUGCAGACAGAACUGUAUACAUAAUAAAUAGAUCUAAGGGGAAAAAAGCCACUUAAUAAUCUUGGUAUUUUCGGCAUACAGUAAACCAGCUACAGUAAGUCAGUGAGUAAUCACCGACAUAUCCCCUGCCUGAUGAAAGACUACACCCAUAUGCAAAAAUCUCUGCUUUCUGCUCAUUAUUGUUAAAAGUCAGAAUGAUAACAUCCAAAUGUUUUUCUUUCAGAGGAGUGUGAUAUAUCUGCCAUUGUCUCAAAACACCUGCAGCCUACUCCUGAACCUCAGAGUCCUACGGAGCCUCCUGCAUGGGGCAGCAGUAUUGUGAAAGUUCCAUCUGGGUUAUUUGAUACCAACAAUAGGACAAGUACUGGUGAGUAGAAAGGGACCUCUGCCUCCUUUGGGGACACUAAUCUGUAGUCAAGCUGACCGUGACUCCUUCAUGCUCAGUUAGAGUAUGUUUAAUGAUAUUAUUUCUCUUGACUUAUUACAGUGGACAUGCUAGGAAGCCAUGAUUGAGACUGAAUUCUAUAAGUGGGCUAAAGUUAAAGUUUGUAACUUAAAGGAAUAGUUUGAGAGCCUUGCAUAGUGGCACAUACC
rnacentral:lncRNA from 1 species